rnacentral:sRNA from 1 species
AAACGGAAAGGAAGAUGGGUGGCCGAUGUUAAACUAACCUGAUUUUUUACACAUGAUGAAUCAUUCAGCAUGAAAAAAACAGGAUUAGUCUGCCCAUUUUCCAUAAAUGAUUGUUUUUCUGCCUAUGCGGAAAAGCUUAUUUGUUGCCGACUAAUCCUUCCAUUACGGGAGGAUUUUUUU